AGUUCGAUCAUGGCUCAGAUUGAACGCUGGCGGGAUGCUUUACACAUGCAAGUCCGAACGGCAGCACGGACUUCGGUCUGGUGGCGAGUGGCGAACGGGUGAGUAAUGUCUUAUCGGAACGUGCCUAGUAGCGGGGGAUAACUACGCGAAGCGUAGCUAAUACCGCAUACGCCCUUCGGGGGAAAGCGGGGGACCUUCGGGCCUCGCACUAUUAGAGCGGCCGAUAUCGGAUUAGCUAGUUGGUGGGGUAACGGCUCACCGAGGCGACGAUCCGUAGCUGGUUUGAGAGGACGACCAGCCACACUGGGACUGAGACGGCCCGGGCUCUACAGGAGGCAGCAGUGGGGAAUUUUGGACAAUGGAAACCUGAUCAGCCAUCCCGCGUGUGCGAUGAAGGCCUUCGGGUUGUAAAGCACUUUUUGGCAGGAAAAAGAAACGGCACGGGAUAAUACCCCGUGCAACUGACAGUACCUGCAGAAUAAGCACCGGCUAACUACGUGCCAGCAGCCGCCG
rnacentral:misc_RNA from 1 species